UACGUAGGGUGCAAGCGUUGUCCGGAAUUAUUGGGCGUAAAGAGCUCGUAGGCGGUCUGUCGCGUCGGCUGUGAAAACCCGGGGCUCAACCCCGGGCCUGCAGUCGAUACGGGCAGACUAGAGUGUGGUAGGGGAGACUGGAAUUCCUGGUGUAGCGGUGAAAUGCGCAGAUAUCAGGAAGAACACCCGUGGCGAAGGCGGUUCUCUGGGACGGUACUGACGCUGAGACGCGAAAGCGUGGGGAGCGAACAGG
rnacentral:rRNA from 1 species